rnacentral:rRNA from 1 species
GAUGAACGCUGGCGGCGUGCCUAAUACAUGCAAGUCGAGCGAACAGACGAGGAGCUUGCUCCUCUGACGUUAGCGGCGGACGGGUGAGUAACACGUGGAUAACCUACCUAUAAGACUGGGAUAACUUCGGGACACCGGAGCUAAUACCGGAUAAUAUAUUGAACCGCAUGGUUCAAUAGUGAAAGACGGUUUUGCUGUCACUUAUAGAUGGAUCCGCGCCGCAUUAGCUAGUUGGUAAGGUAACGGCUUACCAAGGCGACGAUGCGUAGCCGACCUGAGAGGGUGAUCGGCCACACUGGAACUGAGACACGGUCCAGACUCCUACGGGAGGCAGCAGUAGGGAAUCUUCCGCAAUGGGCGAAAGCCUGACGGAGCAACGCCGCGUGAGUGAUGAAGGUCUUCGGAUCGUAAAACUCUGUUAUUAGGGAAGAACAAAUGUGUAAGUAACUAUGCACGUCUUGACGGUACCUAAUCAGAAAGCCACGGCUAACUACGUG